CCUACGGGAGGCAGCAGUGAGGAAUAUUGGUCAAUGGGCGGAAGCCUGAACCAGCCAAGUCGCGUGCAGGAUGACGGCCCUACGGGUUGUAAACUGCUUUUAUACGGGAAUAACGCGCCUUACGUGUAGUGCUUUGCAUGUACCGUAUGAAUAAGGACCGGCUAAUUCCGUGCCAGCAGCCGAGGUCAUACGGAAGUUCCGGGCGUUAUCCGGAUUUAUUGGGUUGAAAGGGAGCGUAGGCCGCAUGUCAAGCGUGCUGUGAAAUGUCCGGGCUCAACCCGGGACUUGCAGCGUAUACUGGCGUGCUUGAGUCCGCGGAAGGAAGGCGGAAUUCGUGGUGUAGCGGUGAAAUGCUUAGAUAUGACGAAGAACCCCGAUUGCGAAGGCAGCUUGCUGCAGCUGAACUGACGCUGAUGCUCGAAAGCGCGGGUAUCGAACAGGAUUAGAUACCCCUGUAGUC
rnacentral:rRNA from 1 species